CCUACGGGUGGCAGCAGUGAGGAAUAUUGGUCAAUGGGCGGAAGCCUGAACCAGCCAAGUAGCGUGCAGGAUGACUGCCCUACGGGUUGUAAACUGCUUUUAUACGGGAAUAACGCGCCUUACGUGUAGGUCUUUGCAUGUACCGUAUGAAUAAGGACCGGCUAAUUCCGUGCCAGCAGCCGCGGUAAUACGGAGGGUCCGGGCGUUAUCCGGAUUUAUUGGGUUUAAAGGGAGCGUAGGCGGCAUGUCAAGCGUGCUGUGAAAUGUUCGGGCUCAACCCGGGCCUUGCAGCGCGAACUGGCGUGCUUGAGUCCGCUGAAAGCAGGCGGAAUUCGUCGUGUAGCGGUGAAAUGCUUAGAUAUGACGAAGAACUCCGAUUGCGAAGGCAGCUUGCUGCAGCGGAACUGACGCUGAUGCUCGAAAGCGCGGGUAUCGAACAGGAUUAGAUACCCUAGUAGUC
rnacentral:rRNA from 1 species